AAUCAACGCUGGCGGCGUGCCUCAGACAUGCAAGUCGAACGCGAAAGCUUCCUUCGGGGAGCAAGUAGAGUGGCGCACGGGUGAGUAACACGUAGGUAAUCUACCUUUGGAUUGGGAAUAACAACCGGAAACGGUUGCUAAUACCGAAUAAUGCAGCGGCACCUAAUGGUGACAGUUGUUAAAGCGGGGGAUCGCAAGACCUCGCGUCUAAAGAGGAGCCUGCGGCGGAUUAGCUAGUUGGUAAGGUAAUGGCUUACCAAGGCGACGAUCAGUAGCUGGUCUGAGAGGACGAUCAGCCACACUGGGACUGAGACACGGCCCAGACUCCUACGGGAGGCAGCAGUGGGGAAUUUUGGACAAUGGGCGAAAGCCUGAUCCAGCAAUGCCGCGUGUAUGAAGAAGGCCUUCGGGUUGUAAAGCACUUUUGUCCGGAAAGAAAUGGCUCUGGUUAAUACCUGGGGUCGAUGACGGUACCGGAAGAAUAAGGACCGGCUAACUACGUGCCAGCAGCCGCCGUAACAC
rnacentral:rRNA from 1 species